GGACGUUACUCGCAGAAUAAGCACCGGCUAACUCUGUGCCAGCAGCCGCGGUAAUACAGAGGGUGCGAGCGUUAAUCGGAUUUACUGGGCGUAAAGCGUGCGUAGGCGGCUUAUUAAGUCGGAUGUGAAAUCCCCGAGCUUAACUUGGGAAUUGCAUUCGAUACUGGUGAGCUAGAGUAUGGGAGAGGAUGGUAGAAUUCCAGGUGUAGCGGUGAAAUGCGUAGAGAUCUGGAGGAAUACCGAUGGCGAAGGCAGCCAUCUGGCCUAAUACUGACGCUGAGGUACGAAAGCAUGGGGAGCAAACAGGAUUAGAUACCCUGGUAGUCCAUGCCGUAAACGAUGUCUACUAGCCGUUGGGGCCUUUGAGGCUUUAGUGGCGCAGCUAACGCGAUAAGUAGACCGCCUGGGGAGUACGGUCGCAAGACUAAAACUCAAAUGAAUUGACGGGGGCCCGCACAAGCGGUGGAGCAUGUGGUUUAAUUCGAUGCAACGCGAAGAACCUUACCUGGCCUUGACAUACUAGAAACUUUCCAGAGAUGGAUUGGUGCCUUCGGGAAUCUAGAUACAG
rnacentral:rRNA from 1 species